UGGUUUGGCAAGGACUUGUCCGCGUCGUACGUCCUCUCGUUUGAGUCCACGCAGUAGACAUCCUACGUUAUCGCCGGCCAUGCCAUAGU
rnacentral:ribozyme from 1 species